CGCGAGCGCGAGAAGUCGAACUGAGGAGCAGAAACCGUUGUUAGUGUUAGUUCUGGCCCGUUUGGACCCAAACUAAAGCGAGUUUAUUCGGUUCUGUGUAACCGAACCCGUUCUGUUCUGUAUUGUGUGUAUGUGUGUAGUUAACGGUGUUAACACCUGUGUUUCAGGUGUAUCAGUAUGAAGCAGGCGGUGACGGCGCACUGAUUCACUCUCGGAGCUCGGUUCACUAAUGACCGAAUCACCGUGGAACCGACUAAAGAUAACUCACACCCGCACGGAGAAGAAGAACAAGAGGAGGAGAAGAUGAGCUGGAGUGGGGCAAAGAGAACUGCAUUCAGAUCAAAUGGAUACGAGAGAGGUGGCCGAGUUGUUUGAGGAUCUGAAGAAUCGAGUGUCACAAUUCAACAUGCACAUCAGCGAAACUUCUCCCUCUGACUACACCAGCGCGCACACAGAAAUUCAUAGUGCAGGUAACACACACCCACACGAGUAGAACAGGUGUAGUUUAACAGCAUAUGUGUAUAAAGAGGCUUUUUUCUUCAGGUCAAAAUAUAUACAGCAGGGGUGCCCAAGUGCAGGUAGAUUGCCAUUAAAAAAAAAGAUGUUAGUUGACGUACAGGGCAGCCAGUCUGAGAUCUCGUCUUUUCUCUCACCACGCGUGUGCGAUCAAGCGCGCCAGUGCUAAAGGCUAGCGAGCGAAAUCGCGGGGAGAGGACAUUUUUCAGUCUUUUAAAGACUUAAUUGACAAAACCCAGCUCCCAGUGUGCAAAUUGAUAUCAGUCAAUGGUUGAGCAGCGCAAAUGGAUUCAUUGCCAAGUGCAGGGAAGACGAUGCUUUCCCUGACUUCCUUAGCUACCACUGCAUAAUACACCAACAAGCCUUGUGUGCAAGAAUGCUAGACAUGAAAGAGAUCAUGGAUGUGGCAACAAAGAUCGCCUGUUCUAUACGUGCUAGAUCACUUCAAAGACGGCUGUUCCGUGCACAUCUGGAGAAGGCAGACUGCGACCAAUCAGCUCCUGCUACACACUGACAUCAGAUGGCUUAGUAGGGGUAAAUUCCUGCAGAGAUUUCGAGAGCUCUGUCUGGAGAUAAGCGAGUUUCUUUUUGCUGUUAAACAUUCAGAAUACACUCAACUCAGUGAUGAUCAGUGGCUGCUGGACUUUUUUUAACCGAGCAUUUUUAACCGAUCUGACCAACUUAAUUUGGAGCUGCAAGGAAAAGACAAAAAUUAAAGGCAGUUAAUGCCUUUAAACGGAAAAUGCAACUUCUGUUCUCAAAGCUGCAGCGCCAUGUUUUUGGGAACUUCCAAAACCUCGCGUCAGAUCUGGAGACGCAGCGGAAGGCUUGUGCGCAAUUUAACAUUGCACGCUACACGGAGCAGAUUGACAGCUGUCGGUCAGAGUUUGACAGACGCUUCAAGACUUUGCUUUACUGGAGCCAUUUGCCACAUUCAUGUGCUACCCGUUUAGGGACAUUGUUGAGGUUGAUUCACUCGCAUCGAAAAUUGCAACGCUGUUCACCUGAACUCGUCUGAAGUGGAGGAUGAGAUUUUGAAACUACAGACUGACAUUCAGCUGAAGUCCAGGGCUCAUGGACAGUUUUGGAACUUACUCACAGGGGAAAAUUACCCAAACAUGAGGAAAUGUGCCACCUCCUUGACUGCAUUAUUUGGCUCUACUUAUUUAUGUGAGUCAGCCUUUUCCCACAUGAAGAUCAUUAAGUCCAAAUACUGUUCCACAAUGACUGAUCAUCAUUUGGAGGCCUGCUUGAGGCUGGCUACCAGCAGCUACUGUCCGGACUAUGGAACCCUGGCUGAUUCUAUUCAGUGCACGUCGUCAGAGUAAGGUAAUGACCAAAAAUGUACUGAAUUGUAGCGUCCCAUAAGGGCUCAUGCAGUUAUGCAAGGUACAUGAACAUAUU